GACGUAGGGCGCGAGCGUUGUCCGGAUUUAUUGGCGUAAAGAGCUCGUAGGCGGCUUCUCGCGUCGUUCGUGAAAACCCGGGGCUCAACUCCGGGCUUGCGGGCGAUACGGGCAGGCUAGAGUUCGGUAGGGGAGACUGGAAUUCCUGGUGUAGCGGUGAAAUGCGCAGAUAUCAGGAGGAACACCGGUGGCGAAGGCGGGUCUCUGGGCCGAUACUGACGCUGAGGAGCGAAAGCGUGGGGAGCGAACAGG
rnacentral:rRNA from 1 species